rnacentral:rRNA from 1 species
ACCAUGCACCGAAGCUGCGGCAGCGACACUAUGUGUUGUUGGGUAGGGGAGCGUUCUGUAAGCCUGUGAAGGUGUACUGUGAGGUAUGCUGGAGGUAUCAGAAGUGCGAAUGCUGACAUAAGUAACGAUAAAGCGGGUGAAAAGCCCGCUCGCCGGAAGACCAAGGGUUCCUGUCCAACGUUAAUCGGGGCAGGGUGAGUCGACCCCUAAGGCGAGGCCGAAAGGCGUAGUCGAUGGGAAACAGGUUAAUAUUCCUGUACUUGGUGUUACUGCGAAGGGGGGACGGAGAAGGCUAUGUUGGCCGGGCGACGGUUGUCCCGGUUUAAGCGUGUAGGCUGGUUUUCCAGGCAAAUCCGGAAAAUCAAGGCUGAGGCGUGAUGACGAGGCACUACGGUGCUGAAGCAACAAAUGCCCUGCUUCCAGGAAAAGCCUCUAAGCAUCAGGUAACAUCAAAUCGUACCCCAAACCGACACAGGUGGUCAGGUAGAGAAUACCAAGGCGCUUGAGAGAACUCGGGUGAAGGAACUAGGCAAAAUGGUGCCGUAACUUCGGGAGAAGGCACGCUGAUAUGUAGGUGAAGUCCCUUGCGGAUGGAGCUGAAAUCAGUCGAAGAUACCAGCUGGCUGCAACUGUUUAUUAAAAACACAGCACUGUGCAAACACGAAAGUGGACGUAUACGGUGUGACGCCUGCCCGGUGCCGGAAGGUUAAUUGAUGGGGUCAGCGCAAGCGAAGCUCUUGAUCGAAGCCCCGGUAAACGGCGGCCGUAACUAUAACGGUCCUAAGGUAGCGAAAUUCCUUGUCGGGUAAGUUCCGACCUGCACGAAUGGCGUAAUGAUGGCCAGGCUGUCUCCACCCGAGACUCAGUGAAAUUGAACUCGCUGUGAAGAUGCAGUGUACCCGCGGCAAGACGGAAAGACCCCGUGAACCUUUACUAUAGCUUGACACUGAACAUUGAGCCUUGAUGUGUAGGAUAGGUGGGAGGCUUAGAAGUGUGGACGCCAGUCUGCAUGGAGCCGACCUUGAAAUACCACCCUUUAAUGUUUGAUGUUCUAACGUUGACCCGUGAUCCGGGUUGCGGACAGUGUCUGGUGGGUAGUUUGACUGGGGCGGUCUCCUCCUAAAGAGUAACGGAGGAGCACGAAGGUUGGCUAAUCCUGGUCGGACAUCAGGAGGUUAGUGCAAUGGCAUAAGCCAGCUUGACUGCGAGCGUGACGGCGCGAGCAGGUGCGAAAGCAGGUCAUAGUGAUCCGGUGGUUCUGAAUGGAAGGGCCAUCGCUCAACGGAUAAAAGGUACUCCGGGGAUAACAGGCUGAUACCGCCCAAGAGUUCAUAUCGACGGCGGUGUUUGGCACCUCGAUGUCGGCUCAUCACAUCCUGGGGCUGAAGUAGGUCCCAAGGGUAUGGCUGUUCGCCAUUUAAAGUGGUACGCGAGCUGGGUUUAGAACGUCGUGAGACAGUUCGGUCCCUAUCUGCCGUGGGCGCUGGAGAACUGAGGGGGGCUGCUCCUAGUACGAGAGGACCGGAGUGGACGCAUCACUGGUGUUCGGGUUGUCAUGCCAAUGGCACUGCCCGGUAGCUAAAUGCGGAAGAGAUAAGUGCUGAAAGCAUCUAAGCACGAAACUUGCCCCGAGAUGAGUUCUCCCUGACUCCUUGA